rnacentral:sRNA from 1 species
ACUCGAGCGAAGCGAGAGAACGGUGCCGCAGUGCACGGCCAGAAGUGCGAGUCGAUUUUGCGCGGAGUAAUACUUCCCCCACCACCG